UGGGGAAUUUUGGACAAUGGGCGAAAGCCUGAUCCAGCAAUGCCGCGUGUGUGAAGAAGGCCUUCGGGUUGUAAAGCACUUUUGUCCGGAAAGAAAUCCUCUGGGUUAAUACCUCGGGGGGAUGACGGUACCGGAAGAAUAAGCACCGGCUAACUACGUGCCAGCAGCCGCGGUAAUACGUAGGGUGCAAGCGUUAAUCGGAAUUACUGGGCGUAAAGCGUGCGCAGGCGGUUUUGUAAGACGGAUGUGAAAUCCCCGGGCUUAACCUGGGAACUGCAUUCGUGACUGCAAGGCUAGAGUAUGGCAGAGGGGGGUAGAAUUCCGCGUGUAGCAGUGAAAUGCGUAGAGAUGUGGAGGAAUACCGAUGGCGAAGGCAGCCCCCUGGGCCAAUACUGACGCUCAUGCACGAAAGCGUGGGGAGCAAACAGGAUUAGAUACCCUGGUAGUCCACGCCCUAAACGAUGUCAACUAGUUGUUGGGGAUUCAUUUCCUUAGUAACGUAGCUAACGCGUGAAGUUGACCGCCUGGGGAGUACGGUCGCAAGAUU
rnacentral:rRNA from 1 species